rnacentral:piRNA from 1 species
UNCACUAACCUUCAGGUACAGCUGUGAUG